rnacentral:rRNA from 1 species
UGAGCAACCUGCCCUUAACUCUGGGAUAAGCCUGGGAAACUGGGUCUAAUACCGGAUAUGACUCCUCAUCGCAUGGUGGGGGGUGGAAGCUUUAUUGUGGUUUUGGAUGGACUCGCGGCCUAUCAGCUUGUUGGUGAGGUAAUGGCUCACCAAGGCGACGACGGGUAGCCGGCCUGAGAGGGUGACCGGCCACACUGGGACUGAGACACGGCCCAGACUCCUACGGGAGGCAG